UUGCAAGUCAGGGUUGGAAGGGAGAAAAAAAAAAUACAGAAAAAGGCUGCUACUGUUCCAUUGGGAUUUGGGUCUCAAUUUGAAGAAUUAUCACUCUUAAAAUCGAUUUUGUUUCUUCCUCUGAAAUGGUUCAAAGCUUGGCUAAAUUCAAGUUUGGCUUGGGGUACAAACUCAGAAUUUCCCAUGAUGUAAACUCAAUUUGAAGGUGAAAUGAAAGGAAGUGCUGAGUUCUGUUAAUAAUUUUGAUUUUGCUAUGAUUCUGUUCCUUUAUGAUGUUUAUGUGUUAAACAUUUGAUUCAAAUGUAGUUAGUCUAGCUGAUGCUGAUUAAUUAUCAUGUUGUAGUCAAUUGUGGACUGUUGGACUUUGGGAAUCAUGUUGUGCUUGGACUUUAAGUUGUUGUUUUGGGUUUGAUCUAGAUUAAAUCCCCUUGUAAUUAAUAUUUUCAUGUUGGGUAUUGUUAGAUACACUAUGUUUUUGACUUGA